rnacentral:ncRNA from 1 species
CUCAAGCCCAAGAACAAAAGUCUUGGUCCUGAACCUAUCACUAUUUUUUCCCAACACUAUACAUGCAAGCCUCAACGAAACAGUGAGUAACCCACCAAAUCAUUAAGAAACAACGGAGUAAACAUAAGACCCGAAAAACCCAUCAAAAAACAAGGGGAAUCCCCCACGCCUACACAGGAAUUCAGCAGUAAUUAACAUUAGGCCAUGAGCGAAAGCUUGACCUAGGUAUAGGAAAAAAAGCCGGUAAAACUCGUGCCAGCUACCGCGGUUAUACGAGAGGCUUGAAAUAGUGGCCCCCGGCGAAAACAUGGCCAGAGCACGUCAAAAGCCUAAGGGAGGAAGGAAAAGCAAGCUGUCCAACGCCAAGAACGAACGAACCCGCCCCACCCCAGGACCCGAUCUCUUUAACCAUAAAAGCCGGGAAACAAACUAGGAUUAGAGACCCUACUAUGCCCGGCUGUGAAAGGCCACCCACGCCCGCCCGACAAAUACGAGCGAAAGCUUAAAACUCAAAGGACUUGACGGUGCCCCACAUCCCCCUAGAGGAGCCUGUCCCGUAAUCGACACCCCCCGUUAAAACCUCACCGCCCCUAGCCAACCAGUCUAUAUACCGCCGUCGUCAGUUCACCCUGCAAAAGAACAAAAGUGAGCAAAACAGUUCAUUGCACUAAAACGACAGGUCAAAGCGUAGCACAUGGGGCGGGCUAAGAUGGGCUACAUUUUCUUAAACAGACCACACCGAAAAGCGCAUGAAAAACGCCAAACAGGUGGAUUUAGCAGUAAGGUGAGACAGAAUGCCCACCUGAACACGGCACUGAGGCACGCACACACCGCCCGUCACCCCCCUCCACCCGCAAUAAAAACUUCAUAAAGCCAAAGCACCACUUAAGAUGGGGAAAGUCGUAACAAGGUGAGCGUACUGGAAGGUGCGCUCGUGCAC